rnacentral:rRNA from 1 species
AUUGAACGCUGGCGGCAUGCCUUACACAUGCAAGUCGAGCGGUAACAGGUCUUCGGAUGCUGACGAGUGGCGAACGGGUGAGUAAUACAUCGGAACGUGCCUAGUAGUGGGGGAUAACUACUCGAAAGAGUGGCUAAUACCGCAUGAGAUCUACGGAUGAAAGCAGGGGAUCGCAAGACCUUGUGCUACUAGAGCGGCCGAUGGCAGAUUAGGUAGUUGGUGGGAUAGAAGCUUACCAAGCCGACGAUCUGUAGCUGGUCUGAGAGGACGAUCAGCCACACUGGGACUGAGACACGGCCCAGACUCCUACGGGAGGCAGCAGUGGGGAAUUUUGGACAAUGGGCGCAAGCCUGAUCCAGCAAUGCCGCGUGCAGGAUGAAGGCCUUCGGGUUGUAAACUGCUUUUGUACGGAACGAAAAGCCCUGGGUUAAUACCCUGGGGUCAUGACGGUACCGUAAGAAUAAGCACCGGCUAACUACGUGCCAGCCGCCGCCGUAAAAC